UUUGUGUGUACGUGUGGGUCGACUAUUUCGACAAAAUCAAUAUACACAAAUUGAUUCGAUGUUGAUGAUCAAUGAUUAUUAUGCGAUAUUUUUAUCUGUUGUAUUUUACAAAAAUUAUUUUCAAUUUUCAACUAUACAUUUCGAAAUUGUUGCACGUGUAAACCGGAAACAAUUGUUCAAACAAAUAAUGAUAACAUGCAAUCAAAUUAAAUCAUCAUCAUCAUCAUAUUAUGUCAUGAAAAGGAUGAAAAUAUAUCGUCCAUUUUCAUUGGAUACAACGUGUGGUGUGGAUAACUGUGGAAGGGGAUGUGUAAUACAUUCCUUCGAAUUUAAAAAACAUCGUUUCAUUCGAAUCAUCAUCAUCAUCAUUGAACAGCAUACAGAUCAUAAAAAAAUCCGUAAUUGUCAUACGCCCCAUAAAUCAAUGUGUUAACGAACGAAACAUUCGAAAAAAAAAAACAACA